UACGUAGGGUGCAAGCGUUGUCCGGAAUUAUUGGGCGUAAAGGGCGCGUAGGCGGCACGGCAAGUCGGGAGUGAAAGCCCGGGGCUCAACCCCGGAGGGUCUUCCGAAACUGCCGAGCUAGAGUGCGGAAGAGGCAACCGGAAUUCCCAGUGUAGCGGUGAAAUGCGUAGAUAUUGGGAAGAACACCAGAGGCGAAGGCGGGUUGCUGGGCCGACACUGACGCUGAGGCGCGAAAGCCAGGGGAGCAAACGGG
rnacentral:rRNA from 1 species